AGUGAACGCUGGCGGUAGGCCUAACACAUGCCAGUCGAACGGCAGCACAGUAAGAGCUUGCUCUUACGGGUGGCGAGUGGCGGACGGGUGAGGAAUACAUCGGUAUCUCCUUUUUCGUGGGGGUUAACGUAGGGAAACUUACGCUAAUACCGCAUACGACCUACGGGUGACAGCAGGGGAUCUUCGGACCUUGCGCGAUUGAAUGAGCCGAUGUCGGAUUAGCUAGUUGGCGGGGUAAAGGCCCACCAAGGCGACGAUCCGUAGCCGGUCUGAGGGGAUGAUCAGCCACACUGGAAGUGAGACAGGGUCCAGACUCCUACGGGGGGCAGCAGUGGGGAAUAUUGGACGAUGGGCGCAAGCCUGAUCCAGCCAUACCGCGUGGGUGAAGAAGGACUUCGGGUGGUAAAGCGCUUUUGUUGGGAAAGAAAAGCAGCAGGUUAAUACCCCGCUGUUCUGACGGUACCCAAAGAAUAAGCACCGGCUAACUUCGUG
rnacentral:rRNA from 1 species